UACUAUUGCAAUGUCAUUUCAUCAUUUGUUUUCUCUUAUUAGCAAUAUAUGUAUCCGUUAUUGCGUAAUUGAUAAGUGCUAUUGGAGCGGAACUUUCCGAGGAGAAGUAUUGAAUGCCAGAAUCUAUAUACUACUGUGUUUUAUAGCCAUCGUUUCCAAAGUAGACUGCAGUGGCGUCACUUGGCGACGAAAAUUUCAAACUUGCGGCACGUUUCAUUUCCAAGAAUCGUCGGAUGACUCAUACGUCGAGUUGUGUGGGCGGUGAACGGGGUAGCCGGAACAUAUCGAACAAGACGCAUGACUCACCAAUCUGAUAUGUCGGAUACUCGCGCCUUAACCUGCUCCCUCUGGAUGGCUAGACGUUCCUGAACCUGUGGUUUCCUCCACUUAAAAGCAUACAGGUGCCACCUGUGUAACCAAGUGACCAAGAUACACGAAGAAGUUAGAUUCAAAUAUCUGGUGCGAAUAACAAAGAGAAGAGGUUAUCGUAAUAUAACAUACAAUUUUUUUUCAUCGUGACAUACACAUUACACAGGCAUAAAAUUAAAGGAUUAAAAACUAAGAUAAGAUGUUUUAAUUAAUUUUAGGCUAUGAUCUAAUUAAUACUAAAAGAUUUCGAUUGAAUUUAUUAUUAUUAUUUAUUGAAUAUCAUACGAUAUUAUCUUUUAUAUUUUCUAAUAAUUAUUUAUAUAAUCGUUAUUUUUAAUCAAAUUAGAUCUAUUUAGCACAGUAUUAUACUACAAAAGAUACGUCUCAUUACGGGCAUGAAGCACAAGGGAUUGACAUUCACCUGCUUAGCUUCACACCAUGAUGAAAUUCGAAUAGACAGGCGGUCGUCGUCCUUGAGCUAACUUCUGCCUAUAGCCAAGGCCUCGACUUAGCAGCACAUUUGAAACGUUACCCGAUUGGAAAAAUUACGACGCCAAGGAAUGUCAUUGCCAUUUUGUAAAUCGGUGCCGCGAGAGUGAUCUGCCUCAUAUGAGUUCAGAGAAUACGAAUCUCGUUGUUUUGCCUGUUUCACAUUUGCUUGUUUUUCAUUAAAAUAUAGGUUAAGUGUCGUUCGUGAUUUCGAGGUUAACAAAUCAUUUAUCGAUUUUCCUAGUAAAAAAAAGAUAGGGAGGCGCAUCCAUCAUGCGAGAUAUAUUAUAAAAAUU